UACAGAGGUGGCAAGCGUUGUUCGGAAUUACUGGGCGUAAAGGGCGCGUAGGCGGCCAUCUAAGUCAGACGUGAAAUCCCCCGGCUUAACCUGGGAACUGCGUCUGAUACUGGAAGGCUCGAGUUUGGGAGAGGGAUGUGGAAUUCCAGGUGUAGCGGUGAAAUGCGUAGAUAUCUGGAGGAACACCGGUGGCGAAGGCGGACCUCUGGGCCUUACCUGACGCUGAGGCGCGAAAGCUAGGGGAGCAAACAGG
rnacentral:rRNA from 1 species